rnacentral:misc_RNA from 1 species
GUGAAUCAUCGAAUUUUUGAACGCACAUUGCACUCUCUUCGGUGAGUAUACCUGUUUGAGGGUCAGUAUUAAUAAAAAUCGGUGUGUUGCCUCUUUGUGACGCUCCGGGGUUUGGGUCAUCUUAAUAUCCUUUAGGUUUUAAGAGGUUUAAAAUUGGCUUUUUUUGCGCAUUUUAGUUGUACAUAAAUGCUUUUUUUUAUUCGUCUGUCUUACUGCUCAAAAUCCUAUUAGAUGCGACCAUAUGGUGGGGUUUUGUGUUUAUAAAUUUUUA